rnacentral:rRNA from 1 species
CAAUAAGCGGAGGAAAAGAAACCAACAGGGAUUGCCCUAGUAACGGCGAGUGAAGCGGCAACAGCUCAAAUUUGAAAUCUGGCCCUUUCAGGGUCCGAGUUGUAAUUUGCAGAGGGUGCUUUGGCUUUGGCUGUGGUCUAAGUUCCUUGGAACAGGACGUCACAGAGGGUGAGAAUCCCGUACGUGGCCGCCAGCCUCUGCCGUGUAAAGCCCCUUCGAUGAGUCGAGUUGUUUGGGAAUGCAGCUCUAAAUGGGAGGUAAAUUUCUUCUAAAGCUAAAUAUUUGCCAGAGACCGAUAGCGCACAAGUAGAGUGAUCGAAAGAUGAAAAGCACUUUGGAAAGAGAGUCAAAAAGCACGUGAAAUUGUUGAAAGGGAAGCGCUUGCAGCUAGACGUGCCUUUGGUUGUUCAGCCGGGCUUUUGCCCGGUGCACUCUACCUUUGGCAGGCCAGCAUCAGUUUGGACGGCUGGAUAAAGGUCUAUUAAACGUGACUUCCUUCGGGGAGAGCUUAUAGGGUAGACGACAUGCAGCCAGUCUGAACUGAGGUCCGCGCAUCUGCUAGGAUGCUGGCGUAAUAGCUGUAAGCGGCCCGUCUUGAAACACGGACCAAGGAGUCUAACAUCUAUGCGAGUGUUUGGGUGUCAAGCCCGAGCGCGCAAUGAAAGUAAACGGAGGUGGGAACCCUUUGGGUGCACCAUCGACCGAUCCUGAUGUCUUCGGAUGGAUUUGAGUAAGAGCAUAGCUGUUGGGACCCGAAAGAUGGUGAACUAUGCCUGAAUAGGGUGAAGCCAGAGGAAACUCUGGUGGAGGCUCGCAGCGGU